UUUAGCAGUCCGGAUGAGGGUAAGAACUUUGUCCUGUUAGGUCUGGGGAGAUGGCCCAAGAGGUAAAGUCCUUACUGCAAGGGUGAAGGGAUCCGGGGGCUGGGAUCCCCAGCCCUCAAGUAAAAGGCCAGGUGCGGUGGUGAGAACUCUCUAAUCCAGCUGGGGGUGCCGAGCCUGGAUGAGCCCAGGGGCUGGCUGAGACACUGAGGUGUCUUUGGUCUCAGCUCAAGGGAGUGUCCCCACCCCGGAGUGUCUGCCCACCCUGUCCAGGCUGCCUGAUUCCAGGAGGGUGACUGGAGGGCUAAGGACACGUGCCGGUUAAGGGAAGGUCAGGCUCCACCGAGCUAAGUGUCCCCAACUGACCUCCUGCUCUUUUUCUGUCCCCAGAGGAAGAGGUGGAGCCUUCCUGCCCACAAACUUAAUUUCCUUUCCUUUUCUUCCCAAUGCUGCUUUCCUGCCUUGGUCCUGGAGAGUGAACUAACUCAACUUCCGCAGUCUCUACCUCAGGCUCUGCAAGACUCCAGUGAGCCUGACUGAUGCUGCCCAUCAUUCUUAGACACGGAGGAAGCGCGAAGCACCACAGCAAACGCUCAGCCUGCCCCGCAACCCCCACAUGUCCGCAGUGGCUGCAGCUAGGCCCCUGGAAGAGGGCAGUCUGUGCCUCGUGCGUAAGAACUGCUGGAGAGCACAGGUCUAAAGCAAAUAAACUCUCCCGCCUGCAGUGCGUUUUGUAGGCACCGCGCUUUGCCGCCUCCAGGGAUGCCCCCACGACAUCACGAAGUGGCUGCGUUUCCCCAGGAGACUGAAACCAAGAAAGAAAUACCUUGGCUUUGAACUCAAAAGCCUGGAUUCUGCCUUCUUGAGGAUGAACCUUUGACUUUGCAAAAACUGAGCUCAGGCUCUAACAGACCCCAAAGAGUGUACAAUCUGAUCAGGUGUCAGUGGGGGGUGGAAGACACAGGAAUAGUCCGGAAAGGCUUCUUCAGGGUUGAUAAUGUCUGAGCUCUAUGUUGAAGGACAAGCGGAAAUUAGCCAAAGAAAUGGAAAAUUGUAUUCUAAGGAGGGUCCAAGAGGUAUGGAACAGGAGGUAAAAUUAGCUAGACCUAAAUGUGAACCAGCUCUGGCAGAACCAACAACAGGAGGAUGGUGUCCACCCCCCCCAGGAGGGAGGCACCCACCUCAUCCCCCCCAGGAGGGAGGCACCCACCUCAUCCCCCCCAGGAGGGAAGCACCCACCCCAUCCCCCCAGGAGGGAGGCGCCAAACCCAUCCCCCCCAGGAGGGAGGCACCCACCCCAUCACCCCCAGGAGGGAGGCACCCACCCCAUCACCCUCCAGGAGUUUAAGAUGACAGCUGUCCAUCCAUUGAACACUUAGCCUUCAAAGUGAAAUUUUACUAAUACGACAGAGGGGGGGAAACUGAGAGCCUCACUUUUAUUAAAAUUCCUGACUGCUAGAGAGGUGCUUAAUUGGCCAUUCGUAUGCAGGCCCUCAGGAAUGGCUCCCUGAAGCUGUCUAUUCUGUCUCCUGCUGGGGUGAUUAUCUUGUGCUUCUCGGUCUGUGGGUGGCCUAAUUGUUUGGAAGUUUGCACUGUCAGAUCAGUUCCGAAGAUAAAUUUUAUGGCAAUGUUUGUUUUAUGGGCUAUUUGUCACCUUCUCUUAGCUACCCAUAGAAAGCAAAUACAGGUUAAAACCCA